AGCAGCCGCGGUAAUUCCAGCUCCAAUAGCGUAUAUUAAAGUUGUUGCAGUUAAAAAGCUCGUAGUUGAAUUUCGGAGUUUGUCGGUUGGUCGGGCUUUACUGUCCGCACUGGCCUGAUAGAUUCCUACCUUCUGAAUAACCAGCAUGCUAUUAAUUUAGUGCGUUGGGGAAGCAGAGCUAUUACCUUGAAAAAAUUAGAGUGCUUAAAGCAGGCUUAUGCUUGAAUAGAUUAGCAUGGAAUAAUAAAAUAGGACGGCUUGGUUCUAUUUUGUUGGUUUCUAGGAUCACCGUAAUGAUUAAUAGGGAUAGUUGGGGGCAUUAGUAUUCAAUUGUCAGAGGUGAAAUUCUUGGAUUUAUUGAAGACUAACUUCUGCGAAAGCAUUUGCCAAGGAUGUUUUCAUUAAUCAAGAACGAAAGUUAGGGGAUCGAAGACGAAUCAGAUACCGUCGUAGUCUAACCAUAAACUAUGCCGACUAGGGAUCCGGACGAUGUUAAUUUUUUAAUGACUCG
rnacentral:rRNA from 1 species